GAUGAACGCUGGCGGCGUGCCUAAUACAUGCAAGUCGAGCGAACGGACCAGAAGUUUGCUUCUCUGAUUUUAUCAGCCGACGGGUGAGUAACACGUGGUCAACCUACCUAUCAGACUGGGAUAACUUCGGCAAACCGGAGCUUAUACCGGAUAAUAUUUUGAACUGCAUGGUUCAAACGUGAAAGACGGUCUUGCUGUCACUAAUAGCUUGAUCAGCGCUGCAUUAGCUAGUUGGUAAGGUAACGGCUUACCAAGGCAACGAUGCAUAGCCGACCUAGGAGGGUGAUCGGCCACACGGGAACUGAGACACGGUCCAGACUCCUACGGGAGGCAGCAGUAGGGAAUCUUCCGCAAUGGGCGAAAGCCUGACGGAGCAACGCCGCGUGAGUGAUGAAGGUCUUCGGAUCGUAAAACUCUGUUAUUAGGGAAGAACAUAUGUGUAAGUAACUGUGCACAUCUUGACGGUACCUAAUCAGAAAGCCACGGCUAACUACGUG
rnacentral:rRNA from 1 species